rnacentral:rRNA from 1 species
CCUACGGGAGUCAGCAGUGAGGAAUAUUGGUCAAUGGACGAGAGUCUGAACCAGCCAAGUCGCGUGAAGGAUGACUGCCCUAUGGGUUGUAAACUUCUUUUAUAUGGGAAUAAAAUGUUCCACGUGUGGGAUUUUGUAUGUACCAUAUGAAUAAGGAUCGGCUAACUCCGUGCCAGCAGCCGCGGUAAUACGGAGGAUCCGAGCGUUAUCCGGAUUUAUUGGGUUUAAAGGGUGCGUAGGUUGAUUGUUAAGUCAGUUGUGAAAGUUUGCGGCUCAACCGUAAAAUUGCAGUUGAAACUGGAAGUCUUGAGUACAGUAGAGGUAGGCGGAAUGCGUGGUGUAGCGGUGAAAUGCUUAGAUAUCACGAAGAACUCCGAUUGCGAAGGCAGUUCACUGAACUGCAACUGACACUGAGGCUCGAAAGUGUGGGGAUCAAACAGGAUUAGAUACCCCGGUAGUC